UACAGAGGUGGCAAGCGUUGUUCGGAAUUACUGGGCGUAAAGGGCGCGUAGGCGGUCUUGUAAGUCUUGUGUGAAAUCCCUCGGCUUAACUGAGGAACUGCACGGGAUACUGCAUGACUUGAGAUCGGGAGAGGGAAGCGGAAUUCCAGGUGUAGCGGUGAAAUGCGUAGAUAUCCGGAGGAACACCGGUGGCGAAGGCGGCUUCCUGGACCGACACUGACGCUGAGGCGCGAAAGCUAGGGGAGCAAACGGG
rnacentral:rRNA from 1 species